rnacentral:rRNA from 1 species
GACGAACGCUGGCGGCGUGCUUAACACAUGCAAGUCGUACGGUAAGGCCCUUUCGGGGGUACACGAGUGGCGAACGGGUGAGUAACACGUGAGUAACCUGCCCACAACUUUGGGAUAACGCUAGGAAACUGGUGCUAAUACUGGAUAUGUGCUCCUGCUGCAUGGUGGGGGUUGGAAAGCUCCGGCGGUUGGGGAUGGACUCGCGGCCUAUCAGCUUGGUGGUGGGGUAGUGGCCUACCAAGGCGGCGGCGGGUAGCCGGCCUGAGAGGGUGACCGGCCACAUUGGGAAUGAGGAACGGGCCAGACCCCUACGGGAGGCAGCAGUGGGGAAUAUUGCACAAUGGGCGCGAGCCUGAUGCAGCAACGCCGCGUGCGGGAAGACGGCCUUCGGGUUGUAAACCGCUUUCAGCAGGGACGAAGCUUUUUGUGACGGUACCUGCAGAAGAAGCACCGGCUAACUACGUG